rnacentral:rRNA from 1 species
GGAGGAUCAUUAUCGUAGGGCUUCGGCCCUGUCGAGAUAGAACCCUUGCCUUUUUGAGUACCUUUCGUUUCCUCGGCAGGCUCGCCUGCCAAUGGGGACCACAAAAAACACUUUGCAGUACCUGUAACAGUCUGAACAAACAAAACAAAAAUUAAAACUUUCAACAACGGAUCUCUUGGUUCUGGCAUCGAUGAAGAACACAGCGAAAUGCGAUAAGUAGUGUGAAUUGCAGAAUUCAGUGAAUCAUCGAAUCUUUGAACGCACAUUGCGCCCUUUGGUAUUCCUUAGGGCAUGCCUGUUCGAGCGUCAUUUAAACCUUCAAGCUAAGCUUGGUGUUGGGUGACUGUCCGCUUCACUGCGGACUCGCCUCAAAAUUAUUGGCGGCCGGUACAUUGGCUUCGAGCGCAGCAGAAACGCGAACUCGGGCCCGUCGUAUUGGCUCCCAGAAGCUAUCUUCACAAUUUUGACCUCGGAUCAGGUAGGGAUACCCGCUGAACUUAAGCAUAUCAAUAAGCGGAGGA